rnacentral:rRNA from 1 species
AGCAAUAUACCGGUUCUCGUUAGAUCACCGAAGUCAAGCAUCAUUGGGCGCGGUCAGUACUUGGGUGGGUGACCACCUGGGAACACCGCGUGCCGU